UUUCCGUAGGUGAACCUGCGGAAGGAUCAUUAAUGAGUUGUCAUGGGGUUCGAUGCUGGCAGCCAGUUUUUGGAUGCAUGUGCUUGCCCUUAACAAUCAUCUUCUUCCAAACACCUGUGCACAUUUUUGAGGGAGUCUUGAGUUGGUUGCCGCUCUUGGGUGAUUUUCUCACAUUCCCUUAAAUCAUUAUACGCUAUUAACAAUGUUGAACGUGCUCUGUGCCGCAAGGCCAUUAAUAUAAUACAACUUUUAACAACGGAUCUCUUGGCUCUC
rnacentral:misc_RNA from 1 species